rnacentral:misc_RNA from 1 species
GAUGAAGAACGUAGUGAAAUGCGAUAAGUAAUGUGAAUUGCAGAAUUCAGUGAAUCAUCGAAUCUUUGAACGCACCUUGCGCCCUUUGGCUAUUCUGAAGGGCAUGCCUGUUUGAGUAUCAUGAACACCUCAACUCUCAUGGUUUGCCAUGAUGAGCUUGGACUUUGGGGGUCUUGCUGGCCUACGGUCGGCUCCUCUCAAAUGAAUCAGCUUGCCAGUGUUUGGUGGCAUCACGGGUGUGAUAACUAUCUACGCUUGUGGUUUCCCACCAGGUAACCUUCAGUGAUGGAGGUUCGCUGGGGCUCAUAAAUGUCCCUCCACAGUGAGGACAGCUUUUGAACGUUUGAUCUCAAAUCAGGUAGGACUACCCGCUGAACUUAAGCAUAUCAAUAAGCGGAGGA